rnacentral:rRNA from 1 species
UACGAGGGGGGCGAGCGUUGUUCGGAAUUAUUGGGCGUAAAGGGUGCGUAGGCGGUUCCGCAAGUCCUGUGUGAAAUCUUCGGGCUCAACUCGAAGUCUGCACGGGAAACUGCGGGGCUUGAGUGUGGGAGAGGUGAGUGGAAUUCCCGGUGUAGCGGUGAAAUGCGUAGAUAUCGGGAAGAACACCGGUGGCGAAGGCGGCUCACUGGCCCGUAACUGACGCUCAUGCACGACAGCGUGGGGGAUCAAACAGG